AAAAGAAUCUUUGUGAAGGAAAAUGUUGUAUCUUACAGCUACUGAACUGAAGUAAAUAAGAUGGAGAUGGGGUGUUGUACUCUUUGAAGAUAACUGAUUGCUGUUCAGUGACAAGACUCAUUCAUCAUUUCCACUUUCCACUGCAAGCUGCUCAUGGAAUCCCACAUUGACCAGCUAUACAGAGGGUCAAGAGGAGUUCCUGGAUCAGUGUUAGUACUUGAAGAAUGUGUGUGAACAGAAGAUCAUACUUCAGGUAGGGUGAAUGACAACAGGUGAUUGAAAUAAACGGGGUAAAUAGAACA
rnacentral:lncRNA from 1 species